UCAAUGAUUUAUUUAAUUAAAUAGCCGCAGAAUUUUGACUGUGCGAAGGUAGCAUAAUCAUUUGUCUCUUAAUUGGAGGCUUGUAUGAAUGGUUGGAUGAGGGAAUGACUUUCUUUAUAUUAUUUGUUGAAUUUAAUUUUUUAGUCAAAAAGCUUAAAUUUUUAAAUGGGACGAGAAGACCCUAUAGAAUUUUAUUAUUUAAUUAUUAGUUUUAAUUUUGGUUAAUCUUUUUUUAUUAUUAAUUAGAUAAUUUUGUUGGGGUGACAGUAAGAUUUUUUCAACUCUUAUAAUUAUAUUAUUUAUUAAUUAUUAUUUUUAAGAUCCUAUUUUAUGGAUAUUUAGUUUAAAUUACCUUAGGGAUAACAGCGUUAUUUCUCUGGAGAGUUCUUAUUGAUAGAGGAGUUUGCGACCUCGAUGUUGGAUUAAAAUUAGAUUUGAGUGCAGAAGCUUAAUUUCUAGGUCUGUUCGACCUUUAAAAUUUUACA
rnacentral:rRNA from 1 species